rnacentral:lncRNA from 1 species
AAACAUUUUAAUGUUCCCUUUUGAAUUUCAAAAAUAUUUUGACGAACCUAACACCAAAGCUCGUAAAACUGCUGCAUUAUACUUACGUCACUGUUACCUCCCAGCUUUUUCGCCGGUUGACGAACGUUAGUUGGCUGGCUAGGGAGAGAAAUUAAUCUCGGAUCUAAAUUCGCUAGUUUUAGUGCUUAAUUAACUACUUCCACUCUUUGCCGAUCCUGUGCAGACAACCCUACCAAAUGGCCACAUCUACUUGGUUGAAUCUCCAGGUUUUACACCAGACUAAUCCUGCUGCUAAUGAAGAUGACCUUGACACCAGCUUAAGUAGUACAGAGCCUGUAGACCCAUUGGAUGAAAGAAUUCAGCCGGGAACAAGCUCAAGCGCAACAACAUCUGACUCGGAAACAAGCCAGGACAGCCAAAGGAGACUGCAGUGGGUGGUGAAGAAAGUGAUGAAGCCCCGAACCCAACACUUCAGGGGGAUUCAGGGGGAUAGACAGGGCACAGUAGCUUCAGUCAACCUGUAA